ACGUAGGGGGCAAGCGUUAUCCGGAAUCACUGGGCGUAAAGGGUGCGUAGGUGGUUCCUCAAGUCAGAAGUGAAAGGCAGUGGCUUAACCACUGUAAGCUUUUGAAACUGAGGAACUUGAGUGCAGGAGAGGUAAGUGGAAUUCCUAGUGUAGCGGUGAAAUGCGUAGAUAUUAGGAGGAACACCAGUGGCGAAGGCGACUUACUGGACUGUAACUGACACUGAGGCACGAAAGCGUGGGGAGCGAACAG
rnacentral:rRNA from 1 species